AAAAAAAAAAAAGAUGGAAGAGGGAAAGGGUUUGAGACACUAGCUGGAUUUGAGAGAUAUGUUUAGCUGAGGUCUUAGGAAGGAGACUGCAAACUUGCCAGCAUUGUAGUGAUUGGCUAAGCUCUGCUGUUGGAUUUUUCUCUGAGAAUGAGAAUGAAUGUGGCCCAGCAUUCAGGGUGUCUCCUUUGGGAGUUCCCAUGGGGCUUCCAGAGAUUGCCAGAGGCACACUGGGAGCAGUCACAGUUACCUAUGAGGUGGCAGUUCUGCAAGCCCUGUCUGUGACUCAAAGCAGCCUCCUUGUUUCCUCACAUCAGACAGACUUCCAUUAAGAAUGGGGUUCAUGUGAGACCAGAAGGGGCUGGACUAUAUAUUUAGCCAAGACAGGUGGUGAAAUAAUUUAUUUUCUGAUAUACUUUAUCUUUCUUAGAGAAUGUAUCAGAACUUUUUUGGGAAAGAGUGAUGAGUCUUGAUUUGUAAAAGCAUGUCACCUCUUAUGGUAAUCUCCAAAGCAGCAUUUACAAUCACAUGUGAAUGAGUCAUAAACUAAGAAAUGUUGAAUGAUCUGAAAUAAGGGUAUGUUGAUUUCUCUCAUCAAAUAUUCAUUUUUGGCAACAUAAUGGACUCAAGGCACAGAUAUUAAGUGCUUUGAAAUUCUCAAAGCCACAAAGACAGGCCAUAUCUAUGAAUGUUUCUGAUAUGUGACUCUCCUCCCUCCUUCCCUCUUAAUGAGGUAUAAAUGCAUUCAAACACACAGUCACACAUUUAUUUUAUCUCCUCUCAGUUAUGUGUUCUCCAUGUGGUUUGGUGAGAUAUUUUAAAAUACUCUUCAAUGGAUAAUUAAAGGUUCAAAAAAUUUUAUGUAAAAUUCUCCCAGAUAGAAGAGAUUAGUAAAGAAAUAUUCUUUCCAAGUCUCAAUCUGAAUACAAUACUGAUUCAGGACCCCCGUCCAGGUUCUCAUAACUGCAAAUUCCCAAUAUGCUGUUCAGCUUUUGUCUCCUUCUCAAUUCUGAUUUUCAAGAUGAGAGUUCUUGGCUGGAAUAUUUGCUAACAGUGAGAAGACAUCUUCAGUUCUUGGUGAGGCAUUCAGGUAUUACAGAACAUGACUAUUUAAGCCGUGUGUGUGCAUGCUUGUCACAUCCUGCCUGGUAAAUAAUUUCUGGUUUUUAUAUACAUGACUUCCUCUCCCACUAACUGUAGGGAUUUUUGUGAUUAGAAACUAAGUGUGGUCUUUAUCUUUCCUGGUGUCUCCUGUGGUGUUUUAAAUAUAAGAGUUGUCCAGUAAGUGUUUGGUGGACACAUUUCUGAGUCCUCAUGAAUUAUACUUUCAACCUUCACUAAUGCUUUUUUGCAGCUCAUUUACAGGUAUUAUAACAUUCCGUUUAGCUAUAGAUGAAGCAUUCCAUCCUUAUAGUUAGCCAAGUUCUUCUAUUGUGGUGUAGAGAUCUUUAGGUGAAACCAUCUUUAGAGUCUGUCAUGAACCACAGGGUGAAAAAGACCUAUCUGUAUUACAGUAUGAACAUCCUUUCAGGAGAGGUCUACAUUCAUGCUUUUGCAUAUAACUCAUAUCAGUUUAAUUUCUAACCUCUUCUUCUUUAGCUUUCCAUUGGCAUUCCAUAGCAGAAGCUCUUCCUAAUGUGAAAUACAAGAGAAGAUCUACAGAUUCAAGAAUUUGUGUCUGGGAGGUCCACCAAGAACUCUGAACCUCAGUUCUUUAUUCUCCAAAGGAUACUUUGAUAUGUACCCAUCAGUGAGGACAGGGACUUUGUACAAGAAAGAGAAAUUAAUGAAACUUGUGAGCAUCUGAAUAUUCUGAUAUCUUACCUCCCCACUCCCACCCUAUCUAAAACCUCAUCACCUGGCUUAGCAUAUAAAGAGCUUAAUGGUGGGAUACAUCAGGCUGACCUAGGUUUAGGACCUAGCCACCAUUAUAACUUUUGGCAGCCUAGGACAAGGUAUCAUUCCCUUCUAAGGCUCAGUUUUCUCAUGUAAAAUGGAGAUAAUAAUAUCCACUUCUUGGGGUAGUUGGGAGGAUUAAAUAAGAUUAUAUAUGAUAAAUGUUCUCCAUAGUACCUAGCACAAAAUUAAUCUUUAAAAAAAGGAGAUCUAUUAUUAUCUAAGUACCAUAGUGGGCCAGCUUCCAAGUACUUAGGAAAGAUCCUUGCACAAAGUAGGAGCUCUUUAAAUACUGUGCAGGCAGCAAAUGCCAGUUACGUUUUCAAAUUUGGCUUUUGUUUAUUUUGUCAGAGACUAGAGCAUAUUCAUGAGCAGAGGAAAAAGAAGAGAUCCAGAGUAUACCAAAUUUUCCUUAAACAACUUUAUUGAGGUAUAAUUUUUGUCCAAUAUCACCCAUUUUAAGUAUAUAUUAAAUAUAUAUUUGAUAAGUUUUGACAAACAUAUGUAAUCACACAUAUGAAACAAGUCCCUGAGGUAUGGAGGUACUGGGAUCCAAAACAGAAAUAUAAGGUGUGACCUGACUAAGAAAGGAAAAUUCACCCUGUCAGGUGGUCAAACCAGAAUGACUCCAUUUUGAGUGAGGGCUAGGAAAAUGAGGCUGAGACUUGCUGGGCUGCAUUCUAAAAAAGUUAGGCAAUCCUAGCUCUUAGAUGUUUAUGGUUAAGGGGACAAAUUAAUAAUGUUUACUAAACACACCCAGAUUUAGGAGUGUCCGGGUAUCCCGAUAUCUGGAGAAUAAAGGCAUUCCUAAUUUUGCUUUAAAGACAGUAGUAUCAAUUCUUGAAAAAUAUAGUAAUUAAGAAAAUUCAUCCUUCAUCACAAACCCUAGUAGCAGAACACAUCUCCCCAUAUAAUACAAGCAUUGUACCUAGGGUGAGUGUGUUCCUCCUCUUACUUUCAGGAAUGUCCUACUCUGUCUAUAGAAUAGCUGUUCUUCCACCACUUUACUUCCUUAAUAAACUUGCUUUCUCUUUGCACUGAGGACUCACCCUGAAUUCUUUCUUGCACAAGAUCCAAGAACCCUUUCUUGGGGUCUGGAUUGGGACCCCUUUCCUGUAACGGCCUCAGGCUCCCCAGGGAAGGAGUUAAGGUGGAUGAAAAUGUAGAUAAAUAGGCACUAGGAGGGGGUAGGAGAUGACAUUGAAAACAUUCCCUAAUGUUAUCUAUUUCUCCUAUGUGAUAAGAGGCAAGGUACUUGCUGAAAAAAAGGUAAACAAGGAUGAGACAGGUUCUACCUUAGAAUAUGAAAGUUUAAAUAGCAUAUGUGGGGAGCGACUGACAAGGAAUGUGAAUAGAAAUUGCCCAGCUAGGUCUGUGUAUAUGUUACAGCCUGGGUGUAGCACGGAGAGUGUGAGUGCUAGACUAAUUCAAGGUUGGGGGCUUCUCAGGGGGUAAGAAUGAGGAGCAGAAGGCUGGAGACAAGAGUUUUCCCCAGGGUUUGUAAGUAUUGUUGAUGAACCAUGGGUGUGUGCUGCUUAGAGAAGGAAGGGAAGCCAUGAGGGGACCCAGAGGUAUCAUGUAAUGAAGGGACUGAGAGAGCUGGGUAUCUCCAUGAAAUGUGAGAGUGGGUGGGGUGGGAGUUCACACGAGCUGAGAUGCACAGGGAGUUUCUUGCUAGUUGGAUUUAACAUUCCAUGGAGGACAUAUUCUGAAGGAUGAUGUAUUAGUUUUCACACUGCUAUAAAGAUACAACUGAAGACUGAGUAAUUUUUAAAGGAAAGAUUUAAUUGACACAUUGCACGUGGCUGGGGAGGCCUCAGGAAACUUACAAUCAUGGCAGAAGGGGAAGCAGGCACAUCUCACAUGGCAGCAGGUGAGAGAGAGAGAGAGAAGUCCAGGGGAAACUGCCAUUUAUAAAACCAUCAGAUCUUGUGAGAACCCUCUCACUAUCAUGAGAAUAGCACUGGGGAAAAUCACCCAUAUGAUUCAGUCACCUCCCACCAGGCCUCUUCUCAACAGCUGGGGAAUAUAAUUCAAGAUGAGAUUUGGGUGGGUACACAAAGCCUAAUCAUAUCAGAUAACAAAGUUCAUGUUGUGCUCACAGAAAUCAGCUCUUCACAUACAGUGGAAUGCAAAGUUAAUUUGUUAAUAAUGGAUAGAAAAGAAAGAAUAAUUUUGACAACACUAAGCUUUUUUUUUUUUUUUUUUUUGAGAUGGAGUUUCACUUUGUUGCCCAGGCUAGAGUGAAGUGGUGCAAUCUCUGCUCACUGCAACCUCCGCCCCCAGGGUUCAAGUGAUUCUCCUGCCUCAGCCUCCUGAGUAGCUGGGAUUAUAGGUGCCUGCCACCAUGCCUGGCUAAUUUUUGUAUUUUUUAGUAGAGAUGGGGUUUCACAAUGUUGGCCAGGCUGGUCUCGAAGUCCUGACUUCAGGUGAUCCACUGCCUCGGCCUCCCAAAGUGCUAGGAUUACAGGCAUGAGCCACAAUGCCUGGCCCAACACUGGGCUUUUAAAAAGCACUGCCAGUGUUUCAGUGGGUAGUGUUCUUACCCAUAGUCUUGGGAGACAACUAUUACAUUGCAUACUGCUUAAUUCAUUAGCAAAUCCUAUUGACUUUGCCUUCAAAAUAUGGCCGGAAUUCCACCACUCUCACCAUUUUUAUUGCUACCACAGUUGAUAUGAAUAUCUGUAAUUGCAGCUAAAUUGGACUUCCUGCUAACAUCCUUGAUCCCCUAUAGUCUCUUCUUGUUAUAGCUGUCACAAAGAUUCUUUUAAAGCACAAGUCAGAUGAUAUUCUUCUCCGUUCAAUACUGUCCAAUAACUUCCCAUCUCAUUCAGCAAAUGAGCCCAAGGGCUGCUAGACCUAAAUAGCCACUCUAUUCCCCACCCUCUGUCUCUCUCCACCUUUCCCCACCCAUUUUAUUCUUUGAUCUCAACUUCUGCUCUCCCCCUUGCUCAUUUGGCUUCAGCCACCUGGUUCUCCUUGUCAAUCCUGGAUCACUACCUGCAUAUUUUUACUACAAAAUGUUUAUUCAUGGUUCUUUCUGCUUUCUAAGUUUUUUUUUUUCCUAUAUGUCUGUGGUAUUUACUUCCUCACUUCCUCUGCUCUUUGCUCAAACAUCAAGCUAGGGCCUCCCCUGACCAUCCUUUUUAAUGUUGACUUCCUCCCCACUACAAAUAUUCAGCUCCUGCUAUUGAUUUAUUUUUGCCAUAGGACUUAUUAUCUAAUAUCUUAUAUAUUUUUAUUAUGGUUUAUUGUCUCUUUCUUUCAACUUGUGAAUAAACUCCAUUCAAGUAGGAAUUUUGUCUGUUUUGUUAUCUUCAGUACCUGAACAGUACCUAGCACUUAAUAGGCAAUCAAUAAAUGAAUUGACUGUAAGGAUAUUUGUCCUGACUCAGAAGGUUAACAAGGAUAUCCAGGACCUGAACUCAGCUCUGCAACAAGCAGACCUAAUAGACAUCUAUAGAAUUUUCCACCCCAAAUCAACAGAAUAUACAUUCUUUUCAGCACCACAUUGCACUUAUUCUAAAAUUGAC
rnacentral:lncRNA from 10 species